rnacentral:tRNA from 1 species
AUGUAGCCGUGAUCGUCUAGUGGUUAGGACCCCACGUUGUGGCCGUGGUAACCCAGGUUCGAAUCCUGGUCACGGCAAUGUUGAAACAAACAUUGUCACGGAGUUGGGUAU